AUUGAACGCUAGCGGCAUGCUUUACACAUGCAAGUCGAGCGAGCGGCGGACGGGUGAGUAAUGUAUAGGAACCUGCCCGAUAGCGGGGGAUAACUACUCGAAACGGUGGCUAAUACCGCAUACUAUUGGAUGAGCCGAUAUGGGAUUAGCUAGUUGGUGGGGUAAAGGCUCACCAAGGCAACGAUCCCUAGCUGGUUUGAGAGGAUGACCAGCCACACGGGGACUGAGACACGGCCCAGACUCCUACGGGAGGCAGCAGUGGGGAAUAUUGCACAAUGGGCGAAAGCCUGAUGCAGCCAUGCCGCGUGUAUGAUGAAGGCCUUCGGUUUGUAAAGUACUUUUAGCAGUGAAGCGGUACCUGCAGAAGAAGCACCGGCUAACUACGUGCCAGCAGCCGCGGUAAUAC
rnacentral:rRNA from 1 species